rnacentral:tRNA from 1 species
GAGAGUAUAGCUCAAUAGUAGAGCACAUGCUUACCAUGCAUGAGGUUCUGUGUUCAACCCUCAGUACCUCCA